rnacentral:rRNA from 1 species
AUUGAACGCUGGCGGCAUGCUUUACACAUGCAAGUCGAACGGUAACAGGCCUUCGGGUGCUGACGAGUGGCGAACGGGUGAGUAAUGCAUCGGAACGUACCCAGAGGUGGGGGAUAACGCAGCGAAAGCUGUGCUAAUACCGCAUGUGAUCUGAGGAUGAAAGCGGGGGACCGAGCAGCAAUGUUUGGCCUCGCGCCUUUGGAGCGGCUGAUGUCGGAUUAGCUAGUUGGUGGGGUAAAGGCCUACCAAGGCGACGAUCCGUAGCUGGUCUGAGAGGACGACCAGCCACAAUGGGACUGAGACACGGCCCAGACUCCUACGGGAGGCAGCAGUGGGGAAUUUUGGACAAUGGGCGCAAGCCUGAUCCAGCAAUGCCGCGUGCGGGAAGAAGGCCUUCGGGUUGUAAACCGCUUUUGGCAGGAACGAAACGGUGUCCGCUAAUACCGGGCGCUAAUGACGGUACCUGCAGAAUAAGCACCGGCUAACUACGUG